AGCCGCAGUAGUAAAAAGCGGCUAGGUCCCGCCGGUCUACAAAUAUGCCCGCUGUCGAAAUGUUGCGAGUGGAGUCGGAACAGUCCGAAUAUUGAGCUCUGUCUGUCCACCGGUUAUGAACUGUACGCCACCCUAGCUCCACAAAAAAACACUAUUCCACGUUUCGAGUUCCACGUUUUCGAGUUUAAUUGGUCGUGGGGUUUGUUUCCUUUUAGUUAACUGGGGCGAAGCCCCAGCCACGCGCAACAUAUUUCCAUAAAAACCACUAUUCCAUUAUGCCCAGCAAUGCCGAUUGUUAAUGUAAUUAUUUUUGAAGUACUCAGAAAACUCGUUAGACUUAACCAGCCCAGCAGAAAUGGAAGUCCGUUAUGGUCUGUUCGUACUGUUCCGACCUCGCUCGCAACAUUUCGACAGAGGGAAAAUUUGUAGACCGGCGGGACCUAGCCGCUAUUCAUGUUUUCUGUCUAGCUUGAAACCUAACCUCUCUCUUUUUCUAUGUUCCAUUACGAAGUCGUGUAAAACCCCGAUGACAGUUUUUCAUAAUGACAGUGCCUGAGACUGCUUUGACCUGGUUUUGUUGGCCGAUGAAGAAACCAUAGAUAGUCUUCGAAAUAAACUUAAAUCGCACAACAUUUGCUACACAUUAACGCAAUUCCAGAUAAACCCUUGCAUUAUGUAUGUGCAAAUAAAUGGAACUGAUUUGUGUUUUAUGGCUG